rnacentral:rRNA from 1 species
UACGUAGGUGGCAAGCGUUGUCCGGAAUUACUGGGUGUAAAGGGCGUGUAGGCGGGUAUGCAAGUCAGAUGUGAAAUUCCUCUGCUCAACGGAGGCGCUGCAUCUGAAACUGUAUAUCUUGAGUGCUGGAGAGGAAAGCGGAAUUCCUAGUGUAGCGGUGAAAUGCGUAGAUAUUAGGAGGAACACCAGUGGCGAAGGCGGCUUUCUGGACAUUAACUGGCGCUGAGGCGCGAAAGCGUGGGGGGCAAACAGG